GGAUGCGAUCAUAGCAGCACUAAAGCACCGGAUCCCAUCAGCACUCCGAAGUUGAGCGUGCUUGGGCGAGAGUAGUACUAGGAUGGGUGACCUCCUGGGAAGUCCUCGUGUUGCAUUCC
rnacentral:rRNA from 1 species